GAUGAACGCUGGCGGCGUGCUUAACACAUGCAAGUCGAACGGAAAGGCUCCUGCUUGCAGGGGUACUCGAGUGGCGAACGGGUGAGUAACACGUGGGUGAUCUGCCCUGCACUUCGGGAUAAGCCUGGGAAACUGGGUCUAAUACCGGAUAGGACGAUGGUUUGGAUGCCAUUGUGGAAAGUUUUUUCGGUGUGGGAUGAGCUCGCGGCCUAUCAGCUUGUUGGUGGGGUAAUGGCCUACCAAGGCGUCGACGGGUAGCCGGCCUGAGAGGGUGUACGGCCACAUUGGGACUGGGGUACGGCCCAGACUCCUACGGGAGGCCGCAGGGGGGAAUAUUGCACCAUGGGCGGAAGCCUGAUGGAGCGACGCCGCGUGGGGGAUGACGGCCUUCGGGUUGUAAACUCCUUUCGCUAGGGACGAAGCGCAAGUGACGGUACCUGGAGAAGAAGCACCGGCUAACUACGUG
rnacentral:rRNA from 1 species